CUCUUUUCUUUUCCAUACCAACAGGAGGCAACCCGGUCGUCUCCAUCAAAUCUAGAUCAUCAGGCGCUCACAACAGGAGGCCACCCUGCGGGCUGCGAUCAAAUCUAGAUUAUCCGGUGCGCCCAAUAAAGAAGCCAACCUGUGGUUAACAGUAACGGUAACGGUAGGUGCACACGGGGGCGCCGAUCUCCCAUUUACCCGGCUAACAGAAACAGAAUCAGGAUCCAUAUAACAGAAUCAGGAUAUAACAGAAUCAGAAUCAGGAUCCGUAUAACAGAAACAGUCUCACAAACCCAUGGUGACCCACUUCAUCCCAAUUCCACACAAACAAAGCAAGGCAUUGUCACAUCACAACUAAUCAAGCAUUGCAAUUAAUUGCAGAAAUAUUGCAAAGUUAAACAUCGGAAUGCAAUGCACAAUUAGACAUUCAUACUCAAAUGCAAAUAAAUAAAUAAUAUUAACAAUAAACAACAAUGAUAGAAAUAAUAAUAAUAAUGAAAAUAAAUAAGUAAUUGAAUAAUUAAGUAAAUAGUGAUGAUAGUAAAAUAAUUAGAAUACUUUAUUUAUUAUGUAUUAAGUUAUAGAAUUAUUCUAAAUAAACUUAUUACUUUAUAUUGUUAACUAAAACUAGUCUAAGUUCUAUCGAAAUUUCGGCAGCACCUCCCCUAAAAAUUGGGCUAUUUACCUAUUCAAAUAUCACAAUAAUAUACUUAACAAUCAUCAAUCACACAGCCCAUCCAUCGGGCGAUCAACCAAUUUAAACACCCGUCCUCCUUAAAUAGCAAUGUCACACUCAACCAUAAAUUUACAAUUUAAAGUAACUUUUAACCUGGUCCAAUAAUAUUAUCAACCAUUCUUUACUUAAGAUGUCAACAACGUCCUUAAACAUUUAUUAAAUUCUAAACUAGCUAUUAAGAACCGAUGGUUCAAUUAAAUUACAAUUUAAUAAAGGCAUAUUCUAAGUAACCCAAUUAACAACUUAACUAUAUAUCAAUUAAAGCUUCAUGAAUCUUUCUCCAUCUUGACAUAAAAAUUCCCUUUCUAGAUAUAACCAAUACUAAUCAUAUAAAAACAUUGAAAAUAUAUGUACGUCCAUUAUUACAUUAGUUUAUAUAUAAAAUGGUAUCAAUUAUCUGCAAUAGCUACUGCCCAUCAAACACUAGGUUCUCCCUUGCUUAAACUUAUAUACUAUGCUUACCGCACUAAGAACUUAAUUCACGACUUCAUUUGGUUUAUAGUUCAACAAUAGUUCAACCAAUUAACAAUAUUGGUUGCUGCCACCCUCACGCUAUACUUAUUUCUAAACUAAAAUCUCCUUAUUCAUGCUUACCCAUUAAAUUAGCUAUUAAUUCAGACUAAAGUAAAAAAAAAACCAAAUUCCCUUAAAGAAUGCAUAAACAAUAAAAGCUAGGGUCUAAAUUUUCCGCAAUAGCUUAAUUUAUGCUUCAAAUCUUUCUUUUUUAAAUCAAAAUUUCCUCAAUGGUCUAGCAUAUAUAGUAUAUAUAUCCUAUUUAACUUAUCCAAAACUUAGACUGUAGCUCCCAUUAAUAAUAUUUAUCAACAUUUCUUAGUUAAUUUGCAUAACAGUAGCUAAGAAUUUCCAUUUCUAUAUCAACUCUCCUAAUCAUGAUCAAAAUUCAUGAAAUGUAUUGAAACGGGUUGAAAUUAAUUUACCUGGCUACAAAAUGCAUCGGAAGUUGAAUAAUUUCCGGUUUAAGUCAUCGGUGGUAACCCAAAUACCCGAAAUCCAGCUCUGCCGGCGUUAGCUUGAUCGGAACUGACGAAAACAGUGGCCGGCGAAGCUGUUAGCGACAAUGGAAGGGUCUAAUCGGCCGGUCUUUAGUUGGUCUUGCCGGAGAAGCAGAGGUUAGCGCUGAAGGAGUCUGCCAAUCGAAGUGAAAUCGCAGCUCACUCUUACUGUGCUCGCCGGAAGAGAGGAGAGAAAAUGAACGGCGAAGGGACGGAGCAAGGAGCUCAGGUCGACGUGACUCACACUCAGGUGGCCGGAAUCGCAGGUGGAGCUCGAUUCGCGAUUACACAGCCUCCUGCUUCUCUUUGACUUGCGCUGAAAUCGAACGGAAAGAGGGAGAAAGGGAGAGAUACCGGAGACGCUGCGGUGAGGAGGCGGCAGCGGCAGGGAGGCAAUGGCUGAGGCGGAAUCGGCACUGGUCUCAGGCGGUCGGAAAAACGAGAGGAGGAGAAGAGGAGGGUGGGUCGACGCUGUUCCCCCGAAGAAGAAAAGAAAAAGAAGAAAAAAAAAGAAAAGAAGGAGAAUUCUAAAGCUUCUAGACCAUUCCGGUUCGAUUCGAACCGGUUUGGUCUAAUUCUAUGAUUUGGCUCAAUUUGCUUGAUUUUCGAGUUUUUCGCUUGGUUUUCAAAAAAUCAAAUUGAUUUAUGGGUCCAGUUUAGCAAUAAUAAAAUACUAGUGGUAUAAUCUCAUUGGUUGAAAUAAAAAAAUUAAUUUUUAAAUGAAAAUUCUACGAAAUUAAAUUUUCGGGUCGUUUCA
rnacentral:lncRNA from 1 species